UAUAAAGCUCUGUGAAAUCGAAAACACGGCACGCUCUUUACGGUUUUGGUAACCCCCAGUUUUGGAUGUGCCGUAGAAUGAUUUUAACCGUGAGCAGCGUGCACAUCUCAAAACACAAACAAUAAUCAGCUGAUUGCGGCAUCGUCGGCACCUAUUCCACGCCAGAAUUUGUGGCGUACUAUAACAGCCUGCCCGCAGUGUUGAAUGUUGUUGUUUGAAAAUUGUGUGAAUUCCGAACUGUGAAGUUGAAAUUAAAUCGAAUUGAAUUAAUUAAGACAUGCCGAGGAAGAUUCGAGAAGCAGAACGUUGCAAGAGAUUGGAGUUUUUUAGGUUUUGUGUGCAAAAUAAAUACGGCCCAACACAUGCUGCUGGCAGCAGUAUGGAUGCUGCUUCAACUCGACAUAGACUUGGGGAGCAAGACUGGACGCCGACCAGCAUAACAUACAAUAUGCUAUCCACAUUUAUUUUUCAGCAUGCCAUCGCUAUUAAAACGAUUGAUGUGAUUUGAUCUUAUGCAAGCCUCUUUCACGACUUGACCUCUUCUUUGGUUUCAGUCUUCUUUGCUGGCUGUGCACUUUCUCUGGAAUGUCUUGUUACCUUCUUCGUCCACAUAUGCCAUCCUCAUUUCUUUUUCAGCAUGCCAUCGCUAUUAAAACAAUUGAUGUGAUUUGAUCUUAUGCAAGCCUCUUUCACGACUUGACCUCUUCUUCGAUUUCAGUCUUCUUUGCUGGCUGUUCACUUUUGCUGGAAUGUCUUGUUACCUUCUUCGUACUUGCACAUACAAUUUAUAUCAAUGGCAGUGUGCAUGGAUCUUCUUUCUCAGUAAUGUAUGCUGUCUUACCCCAGAAAUACCAGUGUUUGAACAGUGAGAAGAGUGUGGUGCACAAUGUCAAGCUCAUAGCAUGAAUACCUUUCGGGGUUUGCCUUAUGCUUUAUUGUCACCAUCCGGAUUGAGAAUGUCAUGCACACUUCUGCAGCUUUUCUGUUGAUGGACAGCACUUCCCAGUUCAGCUUCAAAUCACUAUUGAGGGCCAGCAAUAUGUGCUAUGUUUCUUCUGCACGUUCCUAUGCUCCUGGGUCCUGACGUACUCUUCAUACUCAUAUUUCCAGUUUUCUGGGUGUUGCUUGUCAUUUGUGCAUUCUGUUUUUUGUGAUUGCCGUCUGCUUAUCCAGUUGUACAGUAAAUAUUGCCAUCUACCUACUUCAGGUUUGAUUGCUCAAAGCUAAAGUCCAUCCAUCUCAUGAGCUUUACGUAUAACGUACUCUUGCCGGUUCGUCAGAGAAUGCGUUAUGCAAUGAAUUUUCAAAUUUGCUGGACUUGUCAGAAAUUAUAAACGCAAUUGUCUGCAAAUUUUUCUGUUGGAUUUGAUAUUUGGGUUUGUCUUUCCUGAUGUUCUGACAGGCGUUAUUCGGAAAGCUGAGAGGCGCUGCAGCGGGAGGGAUCCGUGCGCAGAAGUGGGCCGAGGCGUUGCAGCUGGCAGCGUCGCUGGGCCUGGUACCGCUUGCAUGCGAUCAGCGGCACCUGCGCAAGACCUUAAUAAAAAAUCAGCUGGCUUCUAGUCGAGGUCGCCGUGACCGCCAGAGAAAAACUGGCAAUGGCGUUCAAGAACCGCUCGACGAGUUGGACGAGCUCGUCCUUAGCAUGGACGAUGGCUCAUACGAUUAUAUCGUCCCGGGAGCCCAAAACUCCCUAGACGCCAGCCAGAGUUCGGCGGAGGAGUUGUGGGCGGCCGCGGCUGUGGUCCCGUCUGUCGCCACCAGCUCUACCCCGGCUGCCGCCAUCGCUUCCACGCCUGUCGCGACCUCUGCCCCGCCUACCGCCGGCGCCUCCCGGCCUGCUACCGGCGCUUCCGCGCCUACCGCCGGCGCCUCCCGGCCUGCCGCCGGCGCU
rnacentral:lncRNA from 1 species